GACAGAGGAUGCAAGCGUUAUCCGGAAUGAUUGGGCGUAAAGCGUCUGUAGGUGGCUUUUCAAGUCCGCCGUCAAAUCCCAGGGCUCAACCCUGGACAGGCGGUGGAAACUGCCAAGCUGGAGUACGGUAGGGGCAGAGGGAAUUUCCGGUGGAGCGGUGAAAUGCGUAGAGAUCGGAAGGAACGUCGGCGGCGAAAGCGGAGCACUGGUUGAUUACUGACGCUGAGGUGCGAAAGCCAGGGGAGCAAACGGG
rnacentral:rRNA from 1 species